rnacentral:rRNA from 1 species
GACGAACGCUGGCGGCGUGCUUAACACAUGCAAGUCGAACGAAGUGGCGAACGGUUGAGUAAUACGUGAUUAACCUGCCCUCCUUUUUGGGAUAAGCCUUUGAAACGGGGUCUAAUACCGAAUAAAGGGGGAUGGGCUCGCUGCCUAUCAGCUUGUUGGGGGGGUGAUGGCCUACCAAGGCGGUGACGGGUAGCCGGCCUGAGAGGGGGACCGGCAACAUUGGGACGGAGAUACGGCCCAGACUCCUACGGGAGGCAGCAGUGGGGGAGAGUGCACAAGGGGGGAAAGCCUGAGGAAGCGAGGACGCGGGGGGGAGGAAGGCUUUCGGGUUGUAAAACUCUUGCGAUAUCGAAAGGGUAGGUGGAGAAGAAGCGCCGGCUAACGACGUGCCAGCAGCCGCGGUAAUUC